rnacentral:rRNA from 1 species
GAUGAACGCUGGCGGCGUGCCUAAUACAUGCAAGUCGAGCGAACAGAUGAGGAUCUUGCUCCUCUGACGUUAGCGGCGGACGGGUGAUUAACACGUGGAUAACCUACCUAUAAGACUGGGAUAACUUCGGGAAACCGGAGCUAAUACCGGAUAAUAUAUUGAACCGCAUGGUUCAAUAGUGAAAGACGGUUUUGCUGUCACUUAUAGAUGGAUCCGCGCCGCAUUAGCUAGUUGGUAAGGUAACGGCUUACCAAGGCAACGAUGCGUAGCCGACCUGAGAGGGUGAUCGGCCACACUGGAACUGAGACACGGUCCAGACUCCUACGGGAGGCAGCAGUAGGGAAUCUUCCGCAAUGGGCGAAAGCCUGACGGAGCAACGCCGCGUGAGUGAUGAAGGUCUUCGGAUCGUAAAACUCUGUUAUUAGGGAAGAACAAAUGUGUAAGUAACUAUGCACGUCUUGACGGUACCUAAUCAGAAAGCCACGGCUAACUACGUG